rnacentral:piRNA from 1 species
ACCCCAGAAUGAAGACUGUGACUC